GAGUAAUGCCUAGGAAAAAGCCCUGAUGUGGGGGAUAACCAUUGGAAACGAUGGCUAAUACCGCAUGAUGCCUACGGGCCAAAGAGGGGGACCUUCGGGCCUCUCGCGUCAGGAUAUGCCUAGGUGGGAUUAGCUAGUUGGUGAGGUAAGGGCUCACCAAGGCGACGAUGGGAAGCUGGUCUGAGAGGAUGAUCAGCCACACUGGAACUGAGACACGGUCCAGACUCCUACGGGAGGCAGCAGUGGGGAAUAUUGCACAAUGGGCGCAAGCCUGAUGCAGCCAUGCCGCGUGUGUGAAGAAGGCCUUCGGGUUGUAAAGCACUUUCAGUCGUGAGGAAGGUGGUGUCGUUAAUAGCGGCAUUAUUUGACGUUAGCGACAGUUGAAGCACCGGCUAACUCCGUGCCAGCAGCCGCGGUAAUACGGACCCUGCGAGCGUUAAUCGGAAUUACUGGGCGUAAAGCGCAUGCAGGUGGUUUGUUAAGUCAGAUGUGAAAGCCCGGGGCUCAACC
rnacentral:rRNA from 1 species